UUCUGUUACCAUCCUUGUAGUUACCAUCCUUGUUAACACCUGUAUGGUUACCACCAAUACAUCUCUAGAAGCAUUCAAGUCCAGGCUCGAUAGGACCCCUGGCAACUUGAUCUGGUGGAAAGCAACCCUGUCCACAACAAGGGAUGAGAACUGGGUGAGCUUUUAUGUCACUGUGGGGGAACUAUUAAGUCAUAGACUAAACCAAUGAUUGAGCAUCUGGUGAAGAGUUGUAGCCAACUCCAUAAGCUCAGGUAGAAGUGCAACUGGAAGGAGUGGAGCCUUGCCUCACUUUAUCUCAUUUAAGGUCUGGCAGCUACAGAGAAAGGGUAUCUACCUCCUUCAGAGUAUCUGAUGACCUCUACUCCUUGAAAAAAGGUUAACUGAUCUGGAAGAGGGAUUUCUGGGCACCGCAAGUUCCAGAUGAGGACAACAUCUGCAGAACUCAGUGUCAUAAAAAUGAUGCUGCAUCUAUGGUAAGAAGGAUUUUGAUAGACAUCAAAUCGUGGGGAUGUAUCCAUUAUUUUAAACUGGCUAAAAAGAGAUGACUGAAUCUCAGCAGCUGCAAUCCCAUCGUUUUUGAUCUGAACAAAUCUCUUCAGACUUUCAUGGUGGCACUGCGAUCACACAUGCAAUGCUAAUGAGAAAUAUGAAAAUACAUGGUGGCAAAUCAAUAAACCUGCAAAUGUUCUGUGGCUGGGAAUUCUUGUAGGUUUGGUAAGCUAUUGGAAAUCUUGAAUCAUCCUGCUAAUGCUGUAUCAGUUGUGCUGCAGUGUGGGGAAUGCUGGAAUCUUCCAUAAGCAGAAACUGAGUAAUCUGUGUGAAGUCUGGGGUAGACAUGUGAGGGCAAGGCAUCAUGGAAUGAACCUCCUGCUCUGAGCAGGAUGAUGAUGAUCACAGAGAAGAAAGUAGCAAUUUCACUGAGUUGUUUCAGACUUUAUAAAACGCAGUCGAUUAAAAUACUUAACAGUCAUUAAAACCAACACAAUGAAGUGAAAGAUCA